UAAUACGUAGGGAGCAAACGUUGUCCGGAUUUAUUGGGCGUAAAGGGCUCGUAGGCGGUUCAACAAGUCGAUCGUGAAAGCCCGGGGCUCAACCCCGGGAGGCCGGUCGAAACUGUUGUGACUAGAGUUCGGUAGAGGUGAGUGGAAUUCUCGGUGUAGCGGUGGAAUGCGCAGAUAUCGAGAGGAACACCAUUAGCGAAGGCGGCUCACUGGGCCGAUACUGACGCUGAGGAGCGAAAGCGUGGGGAGCAAACAGGAUUAGAUACCCUGGUAGUCCACGCCGUAAACGAUGAACACUAGGUGUGGCGGACUGAUUCAUGUCUGCCGUGUCGAAGCUAACGCAUUAAGUGUUCCGCCUGGGGAGUACGGCCGCAAGGCUA
rnacentral:rRNA from 1 species